GAAUAGCUAGUGCAGAGGUCUUAAAAAUGAACUAGAUUCGUGUCUUGAAGCAGGAUCAAGAGAACUAGGGCGCCUAUAGGAUUGUUAGGGAGAGAUGGUGAGUUACACAUUCCCCUUGUUUUUGAAGCACAUCAUCUCAUGCCUCAAUUGACUUUAGUCUUAGCCUGUCUCCUGGGUGCAGUGUUUGAGGUAAAUGUCUUAAUUAACAUGAGACUCUCUAUAGCAAUGUCCAAGUAUCACAAGUAUUUGUGUAUAGGAGACAUUUGUUCCCAUCAUAUACACUAUCCAUUGAAAGCACAGGAUGGGAAUCAAAAAAUUAAUUUCACUCAUAAAAGGUAAGGGCUGUGCAGGUGCUCAGAGCAACUUCAAAUUCAAAAGCACCUGAGAGUAACCUUUAAGGGAGAUUUAAAGUCUAGAAAAUUGCCUAGGAUCCAUGAAGAUUUGUUUGAGGUGAUAGGUUUAAACAUAUAUCUUCAUGAUGUGUAUGAGUUUAAGUUUAUAUUGACCAAUUUUAUUUGCUUGUUUAUUUGUUUCCAACAUAUCUUGUGUUAGGGCCAAAUGUUUCCUUAGAGAAUAACCACUAACCAUGCCAGUUGCUGUAUUUUUUGCAACCUUCAACUAAAGUACCUCCAGAAUAGAAAAUAAAUCUUUUCAAAGUUUCUAAAGAGGCUCUCCAUAUAUUCCCCUUAAAAGUACCAAGCAGACAUAUUUCUAGGUUCCUAACAUAUUGCAUGUUGCCAGGAAGUAUAUUCAAACCUUCACAAGUUAUUCAUGUAACCAUGCGCACUCACAGGUGGACUUUCGCUUUGGUUGCUCUUUGAAAUUAAAAGCUAAGUUCUUUUUAGGGGGAGGGGAAUAUAUAGAAGAGGAAAAAUAAUUUUACUUUUAAAAUAAGAUAUAUGGUAGUUCCCACUGUGGGUUAAGAAUCCGAGUGCAGCAGCUGAGGUGGCUGCAGCUGCAGUGUAAGUCUCAACUGCGUGGCUCUGAUUCAGCCAUGGGUGAGGCUACUAAAAAAAAAAAAAAAAAAAAAAAAAGGUAGUUCCAGUUGUGGCGCAGCAGAAACGAAUCCAAGUCAGAGUCACGAGAUUGUGGAUUAGAUCCCUGGCCUCACUCAGGGGAUUAAGGAUCCUGCCUUGCCAUGAGCAGUGGUGCAGGUCACAGACGCAGCUUGGAUCUGGCAUUGCUGUGGCUCUGGUGUAGGCAGCAACAGCUCUGAUUAGACCCCAAGCAUGGGAACCUCCAUAUGCCCCGGGUGUGGCCCUGAAAAAGACAAAAAAAAAAAAAGAUAUGUGAGAGCCAUAGUUCUGUUUUGUUUUUAAUUCACCAUAGCUCCAAAAUGGCAGUGUUGCUUUAGAGCAGGGAUCAGCAAACUUUUUCUGUGAAGGGUCAGAUAGUAAAUAUUUUAGGUUUUGUGGGCUAUAAGAUUUCUGUUGCAACUACUCCAUUCUGCCAUUAUAAUGUAGAAACAGUCAUAAACAAUAUGUAAAUGAAAGUGCGUGGUGGCAUUCUAAUAAAACUGUAUUUACAGAAAGAGACAAGGGCCACAUUUAGCUUGAGGGCUGUGGUUUGCAGACUCCUGCUAUAGACCUAAGAAUUUGUCAACAGGUGUCAACUGUUUUGGGAAGCCUUGUAAUUAGGGACUCUGACAUCUAAAAGAUUUAUCUCUUCCUUUUUCUCUUUCCUUUUCUGGUUAUGAAAGGUAAGGGCUAGAAAUGUAGUUGAUAGUAAGGUCCAAUUAGUGCAAUUACACUGGUUAGAAACACAGUUGGCAGCCUGUUGGCCACUCAUAUUUAGUUUCUGGCCACUUCAUUUUCGCAGAGUAAAUUCACAUGUCUUUAAUGUUUUUUUCCGGACAAGGGUACUGUAAAUUAAAAUGAUGGAGGGUCACAUUUUGUUUAUGACCUUGAUGGUGCUUAAUCAAUUUACUCACCAAAUUUCUCAUUUGUAUAAAGAUCUUUUCUCUGAAUGUAGACUUUUGCAGCCUUUUCUCUUGUCCACUUUUUCUAUAAGUUAACAGUGAAUUUAUUUAGCUUUGUACCAUUUGUUUUUAUUUCUAUUCACCUUGAAAAUGUGAAUACAAAGCAGUGCUGUAACUUGUAUUUUGCCUCAUUUACACGUGAUGUCUUAUCAUACUAUGUAAAAAAUGGAACAAAAUAGUCUGGCAACAGGUUGAAUGCAUAUUAAUCAAAUAAGGGAAGAAAAGUCUUCAAUCUUUCUUUUAAAAACUCAGUUUUCUAAAGCAUGCAUAUAAACGUUCAGAAUUGCAGUGAGAAGGAAAAAUGUCCUUAGAAUGAAAAUAUUUUAAGUGAUUAGUGUAUAAAAUGAUUUUGUAGGAAAUAGAAAUAUAAGGGUAGAAGAUUAUUUGCUUAGUAACACUUGCUUUACUAAAAAUACCUCUAUGAAUUUUCAUGAAUACUUAAUUAUUAUUUAAUGUGUGAAUGUGACCUGCCUCUUCUGGGAUACAACUAUGCUUAUGAGGAGUAUCUUUUCUCCAGUGAUGAUCCUCUUUUCAAUUGUCAGUAAGUCAUAAGAAUAGUGUACUCAAAAAUACACAUGUUGCUGAAAAUGUGAAAGUAUCUCAUAUAAGUUUGUGUGUGUGUCCAACUAUCAGGUUUCUCAUCUUUCAAAAUAAAUUGGAUCAUAAUUCAGAAAAACAGAUAUUAGACAUUUAAUGUCCUUGAAACAAAAUCUCAUACACUAAUAAAUGCUUAUCCAGAUCAUUCUAUCGCCCCCAAACGAUAGCAUAUUCAAGAUAUGAUUUUGAUUCACAGCUUUGCAAUUAUUAUGCAGAACUUUCAGGUUUUACCUAAUUUCUCAAUUUAAGUUAAUUAAAAUAUUUAAUUCAAUUCAGUUUCAUAAACACAUUUUGAAUAGCCUCCAUAUGCAAGCAAGGUUGUAAGGAAUUGGCCCCAUGAAUAGAAAAUUACAUAACUGUGGUCUCUGACUUCAGUGAACUCACAAGUGACUGAAGCAUACAGGCAAAAUUAAAAUUUUCUACAGAUUAUAAAUCCAAAAUGAAAAUACAAUGUAAUAGAGGAUAAAGAGGGGGUGCACAGACAACAGAAGUAAUUCUGGCUGUGGAACUUGAAAAAAAUUUUCACAGUGCCAGUAAUAUUCAGUUAGUCGUGAAAAAGAAAUAGAGUUCACUAGCUAAAGAAGGGAGAGAGAGGACAUUCUAGCUAAAUUUAGAUUCUGUGGCAUUCUCAGAAUUGAUAUAUUCAAAAGAAGUGUAAUGUUUAUUAUAUUCCACUGCUUGAUUAUAUUUGUAUACAAUAUGAAUGAUAUAAAUAUUAAAACUAAUUGCCUCAUAAAAUUUCAAUGGUUUCCAUCAUGUGGCCUGUGAUAUAUUUUCACUUCCUUUUUCCCCAUAUCAUUAUGAACAACGACCUGAUUUUUUUAAAAAGUUUCUCCAGAUUAGUAGAGGAUUAUUGAGUUUAGAAUGAAUAAAGUCUACAAAUCAUUCAGGGAAAUUCAGUCCUUUUGUUCUAUCUUGUUUCUGAAACCACACAACUCCCUGAGAUGAAUAAUCAAUUGUGUAUUUGAUAACCUCCUAAUUAAGGCUCAACAAACAGUAAGCUAUUGGGCUUUCUUUUUUUUUUUCUCCUAUUUUACUAAUCCUGUGUAUGCUUCUUUAUAUGAGUUACAGAUAUUUUGGAUUGGUACAUUGUCCUCUAUUUUAAGAGAGAAGAAUGCUUUUUGUGAUGCUGAGAACAAGUUUAUUUUCUUUUUUAAUUAGCCACUUUUAAUUUCAGUGGAGUAUUAUUGAUAAGAUAAAUAUUACACUUUGAUAAGUGAACAUUAGACAUUGAUAACAUGAAUAUUACAUGUAAAAUAUAGCAUCUGGUCAUAUUAUUACUACAUGAUUAUUAAAUGCAUACAUUAUAAAAAUAAAUUUUAAAGUAAAAGAUGAACAUCUUUCAUAUAGGUCUAUAUCUUUGUAUUUCAAGUGAAACUCUACACACUUAUUUGUUAAUUUAUGCAAAUUAUCUCAUAUAGUAACUAUUGAAUAUGAGUAUGUCCAUAUUUCUAUUUUGUUUAUUUGAUGAGAUUAGAUAAUGCUUUUCUACAACUGCAGUAAAGCUCCCAAAGAGAAUUUUUAGUGCUGAUUUUCUGAAACGCACUACUAUGGUAGUUCAACAAAGUGUGAAUAGGUGUGUGAGUUAAUGAUCCUUUUAAAUCCUGUCACUAGCAUUAGGCAAGAACAAAGGCAUUAGGCAAGAACAAAGGCAAUAAAAAUAAAAUUAAGAACAGAAGUGUUUAAAGGGGAAGGAUUAAUAAGUGCAAAAUAAGAAUGUGAUGUCUUUACCCAUUGUAAGAUCCAUCAUAAGUGCUCAGGAGAAAACUGCCUGAUCACAAUUUUUGGUGGGAAUAAAGAACUAUUAUUGUGUGUUUCUUCCCCUAAAACAUUGCUUCUCUGAUUAUGUUUUUCUGUACCAGUUAAAUUAGGAGAUAUUUAAUUUUACUUACCUAAAUAUACAAAGCAUCACAAUAUAUGAAGUUUUUCAAAGGUCCCAUGAUGGUUAAUAACAAGAAAAUAUAAUAUAGAUUAGCUCCUCAAUUUAAAAUUUUAAUUUUUGGAAAAGUAGAUCAAGAUUUAAAAGUUUUUUCACGUUAAUGUAUUUAUUCAUUCGUCAAAGAUUUGACUUUUUACUGAUAUGACUAGUUAUGUAUAUAGAUGGACAUAGAUAUUUAUCUCCAUUUGAUCUUAUUCUAUUUUCAUUUUAAAGGAUAACAGGUAUAAAUACAGUUGGAGAGAACUGUUAAAAAGCCCAACAAGGGAUAUUGAGGCAGCCCAUAAAUUAGCAUUUGUAGGAAAAAUUUAUCUUCUCUCGGAUUUUAGGAAUAAAGAAAUAGGAGGUAUUACCAGGGUUUAAGAACCAUACUAGCUGGGCUAUAGCUGGAUUCAGGAUGGAUGCUGUUUACUGAGGGUGGGACCAAGUAGAGACUUUCCAGUGCACACCAGAACCAUAGUGGAUAUGUACCCCCUACUGGAGUCAGUACCAGAAGCAGAGAGAAGUGGAAAGAAUUUAUAUCCGCUCUUCCUCCCACCCACUAGUCUCUUAUCAGUGUUUUCCAUUGACCAAACGCAGUGGGAAGCCAAUUGGCAAGGGUUUAGGGGAAAUGUAGGUUGCAAGGAACAUGAGAGGAAUAGAUCUGAGAGCAAAUAGGAAAAUUACCAGUACAAAAAAUAGAAGACAUAAAAUUUUCUUAUUGUAUUAUUCUAGCAACCAUAGUAGUCUUAAAACAUUUUUUAGUCUUUGAGAAAUAUGAACAUAUAUCAAAAGUAACAGGUGUAGUAGAGUUGUAGCAUACAUAACAGUGGUUUUAGCCCACUAUCAAUUAUCUGAAUUAGGAAAAGGGAAGGUAUUUGCUAAAUCAGAGAUUUUGGGGGAAACCAUUAAGGAAAAAAAUAGUCUUAUCAUAUUAAACUAAAUUGGCUAUAAUUAAAUCCUUUGGUUGAUGAUUAUUCAUUCCUUUCAAAAUUGAGAAGAUAAUAUGUGCUAUUUUUCUUUUUCUGCCAUUAUACUGAUGUCAAAAAUUAAGAAUGUACACAUUCUAAGGAAAAAAAAGAUGAGUGGAAACAAAAAAGAAACGUGAUGGAGAAAACAAAUAUUACAACACUCUUAUGUCAGUUAAAACUGAAAAUGACACCCAUCUUUUCUCUAAAUAGAAAUUAGGUAGCUGAAGUAAUAGAACUUUCUCUUCCAUGGCAACUCUAGAGAAGGACAGAUGGCAUGAGAUUAUGGACAGAUGGACCCAUAGUGAGGCCACAUUUAUAGUUAUUGUUAAAAUUUUAUUUCUACUUUCACCCAAACCUUCUAUAACAUUUCGUUUUCAAAUUGUCAAUAUGUUCUUGCUUUAUUGGCAUCAUCCUAUUUUAUAUAUGGAUUCAUAGAAACCUCUUGUGAAUUUACCUUUCUUAGUCACUAUUUUAAGAAACCAUUGUAGAUGUUUGGCUUAACCAAGGUGAUAGAAUCCAACUUGCUUUGAGCAAUGUACUGAUGUAUAAACUGAUAUAUGACUCUAACUCUAUAUGAUCAUCAUGUGGAGAACAAAGUCCCUGUCCCAGAUCCUAGUCUCAAUGUCUUGCAGAAAGCAAAGACAAGAGAAUGGUUCAGAGAAAAUUACCACAGCUAAUAGUUAAGCAAUGCAGUGUGCUUAUUCUGUUGCUAGCAGGCCAAUAAAUUUUUAUUUUUUUAAAAAUUGUAGCAACAUGGAUGGACUGGGGGCAUUUUGCUGAAGUGAAAUGUCAGAGAAAAACAGAUACUAUAUGAUAUCACUUAUAUGUGGAAUCUAAAAAAUACACCAAACUAGUGUAU
rnacentral:lncRNA from 1 species